rnacentral:rRNA from 1 species
AUUGAACGCUGGCGGCAUGCUUUACACAUGCAAGUCGGACGGCAGCACAGAGAAGCUUGCUUCUUGGGUGGCGAGUGGCGAACGGGUGAGUAAUAUAUCGGAACGUACCGAGUAAUGGGGGAUAACUAAUCGAAAGAUUAGCUAAUACCGCAUAUUCUCUGAGGAGGAAAGCAGGGGACCCUCGGGCCUUGCGUUAUUCGAGCGGCCGAUAUCUGAUUAGCUAGUUGGUGGGGUAAAGGCCUACCAAGGCGACGAUCAGUAGCGGGUCUGAGAGGAUGAUCCGCCACACUGGGACUGAGACACGGCCCAGACUCCUACGGGAGGCAGCAGUGGGGAAUUUUGGACAAUGGGCGCAAGCCUGAUCCAGCCAUGCCGCGUGUCUGAAGAAGGCCUUCGGGUUGUAAAGGACUUUUGUCAGGGAAGAAAAGGCUGUUGCUAAUAUCGACAGCUGAUGACGGUACCUGAAGAAUAAGCACCGGCUAACUACGUG